rnacentral:tRNA from 1 species
GGGCGAGUGGCGGAAUUGGCAGACGCACCGGACUUAGGAUCCGGCGCCGCAAGGCAUGCGGGUUCGACUCCCGCCUCGCCCACCA